GACAGAGGGUGCAACGUUGUUCGGAAUUACUGGGCGUAAAGCGCGUGUAGGCGGCUAAGUAAGUCGGGCGUGAAAUCCCACGGCUCAACCGUGGAAGUGCACUCGAAACUGCAUAGCUAGAGUCCUGGAGAGGAAGGUGGAAUGCUUGGUGUAGAGGUGAAAUUCGUAGAUAUCAAGCGGAACACCGGUGGCGAAGGCGGCCUUCUGGACAGUGACUGACGCUGAGACGCGAAAGCGUGGGGAGCAAACAGG
rnacentral:rRNA from 1 species